AUGAAAGUGAAAUUGAUAAGUUAGAAGUGGGCCAGAAUAGAGUAGCAAGGAUGGCACUGAGUGCACCGAGGUGCACAGCAGUUGAAGCCUUGAGAGGUGACAUGGGAUGGAGCACCUUCAGAGAAAGACUGACAAAAGCCACACUUAGGUACAAGAUUAGGCUUGAGAGAAUGGAUGAUGCAAGAAUAGCAAGGAAGGUGUACCUGUGGAAUGAAAGUGGAAGCAAAUGGAGGAAGAGAUGCAUGAGAAUGACAGACAGGAAUGAAUUGCAAGUUGUGUGGGCGAUAAGAAUGGCUGCUAGGAAUCAAAAUGAGCGUGAAUGGGUGGUAACAAGAGGAGGAAGAGUGGGAGCCGAAUGGGAUGUGAGAAAAUGGAAGAAUGAGAUAGACAAAGAAGUGAAAUGUGUGGGACUGAAUGAAUGGAAGAAUGAGAUGGAAAGAAAGAAGACCCUGGAAUGGUACAAGGAGAAAGAGGCCCCGAGGUAUGAAAGGUGGUAUGAUGGAAGCCUGGGCGGUGAUCUUCUCUUCCGAGCGAGGGCACAGUGUAUGGAUGUGAAUGCAAGGAGUUACAGGUGGUCUGAGUCCCGCAGCAAAGUGUGCCAGAUGUGUGACAUGGGAGAGGAUGAGACAGUGGAACAUGUGGUGCUGGAGUGUGUGCAGUAUGCCAGAGACAGGAAUGAGAUGAUGCAAGUGAUACUGACUGAGUUAGGGCAUGAUAGGAAUGAAAGAGUGGAGAAGAUAGGAAAGGAAUGGAUGGUGUUGUUGCUGGGACUGUGUAGAGAGGCGAAUGAAAGGAUGAUUGAGGCGGUGAAAGAGUUUCUGGAGAGAAUGUGGCGUGCCAGGUGUAUGAACAAUUAGGAUAGAGGAUGCUGUUCGUUUCUCUUUUUUUUUUUUUUUCCCUUUCUACAGGAGUUGCCGAUCCAAAGGCCUGGCUCAGGAGUGAUCCUGUGCCACCUGUACCAUCAAGAUCAAGAUCAAGAUGGUGAGUCUGCGUACAAAAUUGCAUCGGAGGGGUUGAUAGAGGCAGCCACAAUUAUCCAUCAUCAUCGGCGACACCAUGGCUCUUGAGAAGACCUCCUCUUCUCUCUUCCCAUCUCUUCCUCCUCCUAGCCCAACCAAGCCUAAUUCUCUCUCUCUCUCUCUCUCUCUCUCUCUCUCUCUCUCUCUCUCUCUCUCUCUCUCUCUCUCUCUCUCUCUCUCUCUCUCUCUCUCUCUCUCAGACAGACAGACCUCAAUGACAGCGUGGUGAGCGAGGAGGGGGAGUCAACCAGCAGAGUAGGGGAGCAUGACCCCUACUUUGAACCAGUGGUGACCUUGCUGGAGGUCUUCGUGGUUAGUGAUGAUGACCAGGAGGAGGAAAUGAUGAGACUGAGUUUCGAGAUCAGGCAGUACAAGCUGUUUCAUUAUCACACCUCUGAGUCGCCCCCACAGUGGAAGGAACGGGGCAUGGGGGCCAUUAACAUUCUGAGGAACAAGCAGAAGAAGGCUGUGGAGUUUGUUCAGCAGCAGAAUUAAUGCCAGUGGUUGAGUUCAGAUCCUCCAAGACACACACACACACACACAGCAGCCCCUCCACCUCCCCACAGCCCUCCACAGCCCCUGACACAGCAUCUGACACAGCCCCUUCACAGAACACCACAUACCUCACACAUACAUAAGAACAUAAGAACAUAAGAAAUAAGGGAAGCUGCAAGAAGCGACCAGGCUUACACGUGGCAGUCCCUGUAUGAAAUAUACCUACCUAUUUCCAUCUGUUAUCCCCAUCCAUAAACUUGUCUAAUCUUCUCUUAAAGCUCUCUAGUGUCCUAGCACUAACAACAUGAUUACUGAGUCCGUUCCACUCAUCUACCACUCUUUUUGAGAACAAUUUUUUUCCUAUCUCCAUCCUAAACCCAAAUUUUUCAAGCUUGUACCCAUUAUUUCUUGUUCUACCCUGGUUGCUGAUCCUAAGAAUUUUGCCUACAUCCCCCUUGUUAUAACCCUUGUACCACUCAAAGACUUCUAUCAGGUCCCCUCUUAACCUACGUAUCUCUAAAGAAUGUAAAUUUAACAGCUUCAACCUCGCCUCGUAAGGAAUACUCCUCAUCCCCUGUAUCCUUUUAGUCAUUCUCCUCUGUAGUGAUUUUAAUAGACCUAUAUCUUUCCUGUAAUGUGGGGACCAGAACUGCACAGCGUAGUCUAGAUGAGGUCUGACCAGCGCCAAGUAUAACUUUAAUAUUACUUCCGGCCUUCUACUUUUAACACUCCUAAAAAUCACACACACCACAGGAGCCUCACAAACAGUCUCACAGCCUUCACAAGCAGCCCCACACUCCACCACAGACACACCAGACCCACAGCCCUUCACCUCACCCACUUCCCAGCCCCCCACAGCCCCCCGGCCACCACAGAUGAAGUCAAAGGGAGGGACUGUGGCUUCACCCAGCCAGCCAGGACAGCCUACAGAGAGGGGGUAGUCCCAGUCAAGUCACAAAAUAUAGGCUUGGUUCUUCCUAUAGUUUGAAGUCAAUGAUUGGACAGGCCAGACAGCUUAGUGGCAGAGCUGCAGGUGGUCCUCGUCAGCUUCCUGGUGGCACAGGUGUAGGAUGGCUGGGAGCAGUGGAGGUGCCUGAUGGGGCAGCUGUGCCGGGAAGAGGGGCUGCUACUGCUGCUGCUGCUGCUGCUACUGCUGCUGGGGAGAGCCACACUUGUAUGGUGGUAACACGGAGAGGAAGUGGAAGAAAGCUUGGAACGCUCCCAUAACUCAGGAGCAAGAGGUACACCAUACUGGAACCUUGUGACUGACAGGUGGCUGUGACUGCAGGAACCAAUUCAUAUCUCACUUGUGUUGGCUAACAUUCUGUCUGCAAUCAGUCCGGUAGUGCCAUGUUGCAGGCUCUGACGUCAGGAAGAGCCAAAUGGAGGGUGUGUCUACAGCCAGUACUGGGUGUGCUGCUGCUGUACAAGUGCCCCAAGCCAGCUGACUCCACCAGUGUAUUAUCUAGUCCAGGUUGCAUUGCUGUGUAUGACUUGUAUGUAUGUCUUUGCCAAUAAAUAAAUUUGUGACUACUAUUAUAUAUGUGAAAUAAAUAUAUAGUUUGCUAACAAUGUGCUGGUAUAGUGUAAAAUAAAUAUUUGGUGGUAACAAUUCAUGCCCUCAAGGUAAUAAAAAAAAAGUGCCAGGAUUGGCCCAAGGCCCAAAAAUAAAGUUUAAGGUAUGAUUUGCACAGAAGCCCCAUCCCAACGACACCAGUUGCUGGCACAGGGCUUCUAUGCGUUUUUUUUUUUCAGGGCAUGACCUGUACUCUGCCUGAAACUUUAUUUACACAAGAUGGAAUACUGAAUGUUUAUUGUUUUACUGUGAAUGUUAAGUGAAUAAAUACACAACAGGAUAAUAAACAUG